CUCCCUUCUCCUCUUCUUCCAGCUCCAUCUCUCUUCUCUCCAGCUACUCUUCGCUGUUCAUCUUAUCUGCAUGGCCAUGGCGAAUUGGCAUGUGCCUGCUCCUACUUUCCAUCACCAAUCGAUCUGCAGGGGCCUGCAAAAGGAAAGGAGGUGAUGAAAUAGUAGCUAUGAUGUUGGCUCGGCUCGCUCAGAUGACCACGCGGGAUGCCAUGCCCGCGAUAUGGUGUUUCUGAUUGAGCCGUGCCAAUAUCUUAGUACUCUUUCAUACGAGAUUCGGUCGCACUCCCUACAAUCUGGGUUCCCUCUCUUCUCUUGUUCACUUGGGAUCUUGUAUGAUGUCAAGGUGAUGCAUGAGAGGUUGUCGACCACUGGAUCGAGUAGAAACAGGAGCAGUAUAUAGUGCAGCCUGUAAAAGACUAUAGUAGCUACGGCGAAGCCAAGCCUCCAGGGGCUCCAGGCACGCACUGCUUGGCCUGAAAAUUCUUCUUGGAUCGAUCUUGAAUUUCUGUUGGAGGCCUGGAACAUAUGAAUCCAUGCAUAUGCAACAGUCAGUUUCUCAUACACUUUUUUUAGGGGUGUUCCUCGUACACUUGAAUGUAUGCGCCUUUACUUAUUGUUAUUGAUCAUGUCUUAUGUAUAUAGUAUCUCCAUAGUAUAUAUAGGAUCGGAAAAGUUCACAUGUGUAAGCCCGGCCUCCAUUUUAUGUAAGGGCAUGCACCGGUGCCAGGACAAUUAAAUGACUUGAUUUGAUUAAUC